rnacentral:misc_RNA from 1 species
AUCCACAUAUGUUGUUGAACCACCUGAAAGUGUUGCUGAGGGUAGAGGAAAAUUGGCUCCAAAAGGAAAGACAUACUGAAAAGGUGUAGAUGGAAAAGGCACAGCUGGAGAAGAUGACAGGACUGACCCCCUAUAAACAUCAGCACUAAAUGGGUUGCUGCCACUAGGCGGUGCCAACAUUCUUUGAGGACCACCAGGUGUGACCACUGGAAAAGGCUGCUCUCCUCUAUCAGGCAAGAUGGACUGGAUUGUGACAGCUGAAUAUGGAUUACCCUGCGGAAACCAUGAAGAAAAGUUUCCCAUUUCUGUGUUGUUCAUCCUAAGGCCAGAAACAGACAGUUGGGAUGGUGCACUGCUCCUGGUUUGCUGGACAUUUGGUUCCACACUCAUCUCAUCAACAAGGGGCCCAUCAUUCAAAUCAAAGUCCCUACGGACACUCACCUCUCCAUUAAGAAUACCACCUGAAGAUGAUUUGGUCGGCUGAAGCUGCACAUCCAGCCUAUGACCAUUGCUUAUUAACUGAUUACUGAUAUCAGUGGGCUCAUCCACUCUAUUCAAAUCAAGAUCAAGUCCGCCAGAGUUACGAACAGGUGCGGAACCCAGUGUUUCAUCAUGUGCAAGAUCAUGAUUACUGGCCAGGUCAGCUAUAGAACCUGUACCCUGAGCAGUACUUCGAGAAGCCAUAUCCUCAAGGAUUCUUUCAUCGGGAACAUUCAAGUCGAUAUCUAAAGGAGGACGACUGGGCUUGGCAGAAGGUGCAUCAGGAAGAGAUAUACUAGUCACACUUACCACUGUCUCCAAUGCUUUUCUAGGUUCAGCUGGCCGAAAUGCACUUGUGGCUGCUGAUCCCUUCCAACCAAGUUCUCCCCUAUUCCUAAGUAAAUCCUCAGGGGGAACAAAGGGCCUUUUUGCAGCAGAAGCUACCGUAAUCGAAGCAGGAAGAGCACUAGAACCAGAAGAAACAGGUAAAGGCAAAGGGCUAAUUAAUUGAACAGC